rnacentral:lncRNA from 1 species
GGGCCUGACCCCUGCGUCCCGGGGGCACAGGCGUUCUUAAGGCUGCAGAGCCCUGGGUCCCCCACCCGGCCCCGGUUCACUUUGAGCGGUCCCAAGGCCUGAGGGCCUACUGUCCAGUCCCCAGGUUAUCGUCCUGAGCAAAGACAGACCCCGAGCCCUGCGGUCUUGGGGCUCAAACAGUCCCUGGAUGGCCAAACAAGCAAAUAUUCGCCAUGGCAGUGGGUGCUGGAAGGGUGGCUCACGGAGCUGACGCCCUCCGCAGAGAACCGUGGUCUAGUCCUGCGGUCACGAGGCCUAUCUGGGACAGUGGUGUUUGAGCUGAGACUUUAACGAAUAGAGACAGGUGAGGUUCCUGCAGCCCAGGGCUUCAGGAUUUCAUCAAAUGGUCUGCUGCACUGUGCUGGAAUUUUGAACUCCCCAGAGUAGUAAACAACAUCUUCUCAAGGGUAUACAAGUCAUCAGAUAGAGAAAACACCCAUUAUAGAGCUGUGGAGCCCUUACGAUAUAGUGCUAUGCUGCAACAAAUUAGACAGAAGAGUAUUUGUUGAAUAAUAAAAGAGUCUCACUCUAUUGCCCAGGCUGGAGUGCAGUGGCAUGAUCUCGGUACACUGCAAGCUCUGUCUCCUGAGUUCAAGCGAUUCUCAUGCCUCAGCCUCCCGAGUAGCUGGGAUUACAGUUUUCCAAUAAUAACAUAGAAAAAAGGAAGAAUUUGAGAGUUUCUCAGAUUAGGCAAUUCCUUGAAGAAUCUGAGAACACAGAAGCUCCCCUCCCUACUUUCCAUGAUUGAAAUCAGUGAUUCAUUGGUUUCUUUGUGUGGGCUUUUGAAAGAUCAUUAGAAACCAACCUGAAGAUCAUGAGAUUCUUGUGGACACAGGAGCAAUGAGUGGCAAUACAGUGCUUUCUAAUGCAACCUACUUUAAAAGGUAAACAGAUAAAAGAAAAUACCGAAGACUGAAAAUGCAGAAAAUUCAACCAUGCAGCCCAUUCCAAAUUAAAUAUGUCUUCCUCUCUAAUUCCUCUCUUCUAGCAGAGAAGGGGAGAUGAGCUAUGACUCCAUGCUCAUGCUUAACAAAAUUGUGUUAGAUUGGUGCAAAAGUAAUUGCAGUUUUUGCCAUUUAAAAGUAAUUGCAAUGUUAUCUCCUAGAAUUUUUAUAGUUUCAGGUCUUAAGUUUAAGUCCUUAAUCCAUCUUGAGCUGAUUUUUUGUAUAGGGCUGGACGUUCGCUUAGGCAAGGAUUUCAUGACCAACAACCUGAAAGGAAAUGCAAUAAAAACAAAGAUAAAUAGCUGGAACCUAGUUAAACUAAAGAGCUUUUGCAUGGCAAAAAGAAGAGUCAGCAGAGCAAACAGAUAACAAACAGAGUGGGAGAAAACCUUCAUAAUCUGUACAUCUGACAAAGUGCUAAUAUCCAGAAUCUACAAUGAACUCAAACAAAUCAGUAAGAAAAAAACAAUUCCAUCAGAAAGUGGCUAAGGAUAUGAAUAGGCAAUUCUCAAAAGAAGAUAUACAAAUGGCCAACAAACAUAGGAAAAAACGCUCAACAUCACAAAUGAUCAGGGAAAUGCAAAUCAAAACCACAAUGCGAUACCACCUCACUCCUGCAAGAAUGGCCAUAAUUAAAAAAAAAAAUCAAAAAACAGUAGAUGUUAGCAUGGAUGCGGUGAACAGGGAACACUUCUACACUGCUGGUGGGAAUGUAAACUAGUAAAGCCACUAUGGAAAACAGUGUGGAGAUUCCUUGAAGAAUUAAAAGUAGAACUACCAUUUGAUCCAGCAAUCCCACUACUGGGUAUCUACCCAGAGGAAAAGAAGUCACUAUUCAAAAAAGAUACUUGCACACACAUGUUUAUAGUGGCACAAUUCAAAAUAGCAAAAUCGUGGAACCAACCCAAAUGCCCAUCAAUCAACAAGUGGAUAAAGAAACUGUGGUAUGUAUAUAUAAUGGAAUACUAUGCAGCCAUAAAAAGGAAUGAAUUAACAGCAUUUGCAGUGACCUGAAUGAGAUUGGAAACUUAUUCUAAGUAAAGUAACUCAGGAAUGGAAAACCAAACAUCAUAUCUUCUCACAGAUAUAUGGGAACUAAGUUAUGAGGACUCAAAGGCAUAAGAAUGAUACAAUGGACUUUGGGGACUUGGGGGGAAGGGUGAGAAGUGGGUGAGGUAUAAAACACUACAAAUAUGCUGCGGUGUAUACUGCGCAGGUGAUGGGUGCACGAAAAUCUCACAAAUCAUCCCUAAAGAACUUACUCAUGUAACCAAAUACCAUCUAUACCUCAAUAACUUAUGGGGAAAAAAGUAAUUGCAAAAACUGCAAUUACCUUUGCAUGAACCAAAGGCCUACUUUGGAGAGUCAGAGGAAUUCUUAACCAUAAUUCAACCAAGACAUACGGUAUGUGCCUUCUCUUUGGUGGAACAGUGAAUAUACAGGCUACUAGCCUGUACUGAGUGUUUCAGCCAAAACACAUUCUUUUAAAAGUCACAGUUUUAAGUGACAAUAUCCCAAUGAAAAUACAAAUUAAAAAAUGCAUUGGCAUAUCUAUAUUCCCUCCCAAAAUAACAC